AUUGAACGCUGGCGGCAGGCCUAACACAUGCAAGUCGAGCGGGGUUUUCAGACCUAGCGGCGGACGGGUGAGUAAUGCGUAGGAAGCUACCCGAUAGAGGGAGAUACCAGUUGGAAACGACUGUUAAUACCGCAUAAUGUCUACGGACCAAAGUGUGGGACCUUCGGGCCACAUGCUAUCGGAUGCGCCUACGUGGGAUUAGCUAGUUGGUGAGGUAAUGGCUCACCAAGGCGACGAUCCCUAGCUGGUUUGAGAGGAUGAUCAGCCACACUGGAACUGAGACACGGUCCAGACUCCUACGGGAGGCAGCAGUGGGGAAUAUUGGACAAUGGGCGCAAGCCUGAUCCAGCCAUGCCGCGUGUGUGAAGAAGGCCUUCGGGUUGUAAAGCACUUUCAGUAGGGAGGAAGGGUUAAGUGUUAAUAGUACUUAACUUUGACGUUACCUACAGAAGAAGCACCGGCUAACUCUGUGCCAGCCGCCGCGGUAACAC
rnacentral:rRNA from 1 species